UACGUAGGGGGCAAGCGUUGUUCGGAAUUACUGGGCGUAAAGGGCGCGUAGGCGGCACAGCAAGUCGGGAGUGAAAGCCCGGGGCUCAACCCCGGAACUGCUUUCGAAACUGCUGAGCUAGAGUGCAGAAGGGGCAACUGGAAUUCCCAGUGUAGCGGUGAAAUGCGUAGAUAUUGGGAAGAACACCUGAGGCGAAGGCGGGUUGCUGGGCUGACACUGACGCUGAGGCGCGAAAGCCAGGGGAGCAAACGGG
rnacentral:rRNA from 1 species